AGUCGAAAAUCAUUCUUUCUCAAGUUAAACUGACUACCCGUUUAGUAAUGAAUAACGGAAAGUGUUCUCGAUUUUACCAUGCCCAUGGUAGGAAUAAGAAUUAAAAGAAUGUAAUUCUCACCAGCGCUCACUUACGUUUCGAGCUCACUUUCAUUAUGACGACAUUUUUUGUGCACCAGUCAAGCCUGGACCUUGCUUAUUUGUGUGGUUCGCUUCAAAAUGUAUUAAUUAAAUCAAACAAUACAGACCUGCGAAAUGCCCGGGCUGAGAAUCUAGAGUUCCUCAUACCAAAAUCCAGAGCUGCCAAGACUCGAGUCGCGCAAUGUAUAGCAGAGAAAUACCAACCAAACCUGCUGAGUGUACUUUGACCUACGUAUCGAGCAAUGAGAACCUCCACCCGGAUUUCUUUAUAAUCGAUGCCACGGGAAAGCGGAAGAGUUUACAGAAGCUGUCAUGCAUAUCAUCCCUACUUUUGUUUUGCUUCCAAAA